rnacentral:rRNA from 1 species
UACAUGGGGUGCAAACGUUGCUCGGAAUUAUUGGGCGUAAAGCGCGCGUAGGCGGUUACUCAAGUCGGAUGUGAAAGCCCUCGGCUUAACUGAGGAAGUGCACCCGAAACUGAGUAGCUAGAGUACUAAAGAGGGUCGCGGAAUUCCCGGUGUAGAGGUGAAAUUCGUAGAUAUCGGGAGGAACACCGGUGGCGAAGGCGGCUCACUGGCUCGUUUCUGACGCUCAGGCGCGACAGCGUGGGGAUCAAACAGG